UACGAAGGGGGCUAGCGUUGCUCGGAAUUACUGGGCGUAAAGCGCACGUAGGCGGCUACUCAAGUCAGAGGUGAAAGCCCGGGGCUCAACCCCGGAACUGCCUUUGAAACUAGGUAGCUAGAAUCUUGGAGAGGUCAGUGGAAUUCCUAGUGUAGAGGUGAAAUUCGUAGAUAUUAGGAAGAACACCGGUGGCGAAGGCGGCCAUCUGGCUCGGUACUGACGCUCAGGUUCGAAAGCGUGGGGAGCAAACAGG
rnacentral:rRNA from 1 species